rnacentral:tRNA from 3 species
CAGAGAGUAGUUUAAUGUAAAAUGCCAGCUUUGGGAGUUGGUGAUGGAGGUUUAAGUCCUCUUUUUCUGA